rnacentral:rRNA from 1 species
GACGAACGCUGGCGGCGUGCUUAACACAUGCAAGUCGAACGGAAAGGCCCUGCUUUUGUGGGGUGCCCGAGUGGCGAACGGGUGAGUAACACGUGAGUAACCUGCCCUUGACUUUGGGAUAACUUCAGGAAACUGGGGCUAAUACCGGAUAGGAGCUCCUGCUGCAUGGUGGGGGUUGGAAAGUUUCGGCGGUUGGGGAUGGACUCGCGGCUUAUCAGCUUGUUGGUGGGGUAGUGGCUUACCAAGGCUUUGACGGGUAGCCGGCCUGAGAGGGUGACCGGCCACAUUGGGACUGAGAUACGGCCCAGACUCCUACGGGAGGCAGCAGUGGGGAAUAUUGCACAAUGGGCGGAAGCCUGAUGCAGCAACGCCGCGUUCGGGAUGACGGCCUUCGGGUUGUAAACCGCUUUCGCCUGUGACGAAGCGUGAGUGACGGUAAUGGGUAAAGAAGCACCGGCUAACUACGUG